GACUCUCUAAUUUCAGUUGCUACAGUGCGUGCCCAUUUACUGCUACUUUCUCAUGCUUUAGCUGUCUAUCUCUCGCUUUCUUUUCCCAACUUCACCGCGGCUGCGUCACUCGAUUUCUUCUCCUUUCCGCGUUAAUCCUCAAAAAACCAAAAAGAGGGUUUAUCUCAUUUGCAUCACUUUUCUCCCUUCAAGUCGUAUCUAAAACCUCAUAUUUUAUCGAUUUCAUUUUUAUUUUCUGCUUUCUCCUUGAAAAUGUCUGUUCUCUGAUUCUUCCCAAAUCAUAAUCUCUGUCCUCCUCUCUAUUUUUUUUUUUUGUUUCGAAUUCUUAAUUUCUGGCUCUAAGCUGAAUUAUCUUGUGGAAGCUGUGGAGUGAAGGAAAUUGAAGACUCUUAUCGGUUCUCAUCUCAUUAUACAUGUUUUCUACAGUUUUCCCCCCCGCUUUUAGUUGCUAAAUUGUAACUGGGUUUUAUUAGCCGAAGAAAAAGCGUUGAAGGAGAAGAAGACUGCUGGUUGAAAAGUGGGGUUUAGGGUUUCUGUUGUUAUUUUCUGUGGUGAUAAUUUUGGGUAGUGUAUGAGAGACAGAAUUGAUCUACGAUGAACAUAGAGGAAACUGAGGAUGCGUUGUUGUUGGACCCAGACAUGUUGCAGCUUCCAGAGGUGUCACCUUUUGCACUGAAGGCUAGUCCUUGUAUUGCUGAGGAGCUAUUCUCACAAUGGCUUUCGCUGCCAGAUACUAGUCGCCUGGUUAAGUCUAUGCUUGCCGAUGCAAAAGCAGGUAUUCCUUUGAGCGCAGUUGGGAACACAAGUACAAAUGUUGUGGGAAGUAACUCAUUGCCUUCCAUGUUUCCUGCUGGGAGUACACCUCCACUUUCACCUCGCAGUUCAUCUGGCUCCCCACGUACCAUGAAACAGAGAGCUAGUCCUUCUUCAUUAGGUUCUCCACUAAAAGUAGUCAGUGAUCCUGUACGAGAAGUUAUCCCGCCGUUCUAUUUUAAAAAUGGGCGUCCACCUCCAAAUGAGGUGACAGAGCAUUUCCUGUUUCAAAUUGAUCAUCAUUUUUAUGGUCAUGUGGACGGUCUGCAAUUGCAUGAAUUUAAGUCUGUCACCAAAGAAAUCUGCAAACUACCCUCAUUUUGCUCCACUGCUCUGUUCAAAAAAAUUGAUGUCAAUUUUACAGGAACGAUAACAAGGGAUCAAUUUAUUGAGUAUUGGAUUCAGGGUAAUAUGUUAACUAUGGAUUUGGCCACGCAAAUAUAUACCAUACUGAAGCAUCCAGAUAGAACAUACCUUUUGCAGGAUGAUUUUAAACCUGUCUUAAGGGAACUUUUAGCAACUCAUCCAGGGUUGGAAUUUUUGCAAAGCACACCUGAAUUUCAGGAAAGAUAUGCGGAGACAGUCAUAUAUAGAAUUUUCUACUACAUGAAUCGAUCAGGAAAUGGCAGGCUCACCCUCCGGGAGUUAAAACGCGGGAACCUAAUUGCUGCCAUGCAGCAUGCAGAUGAGGAAGAGGACAUAAACAAAAUUCUGAGGUACUUCUCAUAUGAGCAUUUUUAUGUCAUUUACUGCAAAUUUUGGGAGCUCGACACAGACCAUGACUUUUUUAUUGAUAGAGAGAACCUUAUUAGAUAUGGAAACCAUGCUCUUACCUACAGGAUUGUUGAUAGAAUUUUUUCCCAGGUUCCAAGGAAAUUUACCAGUAAACUUGAAGGGAAGAUGAGUUAUGAAGAUUUUGUUUACUUCAUACUUGCUGAGGAGGACAAGUCAUCUGAACCUAGUUUAGAGUACUGGUUCAAAUGCAUUGAUUUGGAUGGGAAUGGAAUACUUACCUCAAAUGAAUUGCUGUUCUUUUAUGAGGAGCAGUUGCAUCGAAUGGAAUGCAUGGCCCAAGAAUCAGUGCUUUUUGAAGACAUAUUAUGUCAGAUAGUUGAUAUGAUAGGACCAGAGAAUGAGGGAUAUAUCACAUUAAAAGAUGUGAAAUCCAGCAAACUUUCUGGAAAUGUUUUCAAUAUUCUUUUCAACCUCAACAAGUUCAUUGCUUUUGAAACCCGUGAUCCAUUCCUCAUACGCCAGGAACGCGAGGAUCCAACUUUGACAGAGUGGGAUCGUUUUGCACAUCGAGAGUACAUUAGGCUUUCUAUGGAAGAGGAUGGUGAGGAUGCUUCAAAUGCCAGUGGAGAUGUCUGGGAUGAAUCACUUGAGGCUCCAUUCUGAUUUUUCUGGACGCAUCAAUGGCUAUGAAUGCUUCAAGAGUCUGUAGCAUAAACUGUAAUACAUUUGGGAGGCCCGCUGCAGACUGACCAAACUCCUAUAAUUGUGCUCUAUAGAGGGGUCCGUAUGACUUUUUUAAGUAGAAAGAAAAAGCGGCACGUUAGUUAUAGUACCUCAGGAAGAAGACAGGCAUGCUUCUACUUGGAUUUAUUUUUGUCUAUAUACAUUUUUCUUAGACUAAUCCAAAUUAAAUUAAUUUUCUGUAAAAAAAAAAUUAUAGCUGGAGUUUUUCCUCUGUUGUCAUGGUUGUCAUUGUAUCCCCCCCCCCCCCAAAAACAAAUUUCAUUGCAUUUGUUGUAUUUUAACACUCGGUAUGUUCCCUUUUCCCUUUAUUAAGUGCAUAGUGAAGAGAGAACAUGAAGUUUAUUUUCCGUGUAUCAAGGGAUAAACGAUCAAUGUGGUAAUAUCAAUCUUGGACUUGCACUUGUAGCAAGAUAGCUGAUGAAAACAAAUAUGGUAGCCAUUUUUUUAGGGCGAGCAGUUCUAUCUGUGUUAUGUAGUUAUUAAUGCACAUCGUUAUUAUUGCUUCCCCCCCCCCCCUUCCUAGAUAGCAGAUGCAAUGAAUUAAUUACAAAAUAGUUUAAUUUUAUUAGAUAAUUUUUCAUGUCACUUUAAUGUUGAGAGAAUUAACCUAGUUGAAAAGACAGGAUAUUAUUUUUCACUAUCAAUUAAGUUUGAUUCCUCGGAUUUUU